UACGUAGGGGGCAAGCGUUGUCCGGAAUCAUUGGGCGUAAAGCGCGUGUAGGCGGCCAGAUAAGUCCGCUGUGAAAUCUCGAGGCUCAACUUCGAGCUGUCGGUGGAAACUGUCUGGCUAGAGUACGGAAGAGGAGAAUGGAAUUCCUGGUGUAGCGGUGAAAUGCGCAGAUAUCAGGAAGAACACCCGUGGCGAAGGCGGUUCUCUGGGACGGUACUGACGCUGAGACGCGAAAGCGUGGGGAGCAAACAGG
rnacentral:rRNA from 1 species